ACCAGUCAUACAAGGAGAAUGGUCUAAUGCCUCCCAUCAAAAAGAGAGCUGUCCUAAGCAAGCACAGGUUACACCUGAAGCAUGAGGACUUGCAGUGAGUGGUGAACUUUAUCAACAACUACGCAGAGGAAAAUCCAAUAGUAUUACCAGGACGUCACCCACACAAACACAAGCUGCUGCCAUCCCAUGUGAAAAGUGCAGCAGUGUGGCGUCUGUACAAGGAAUCAUUGACAACACUUGAGGUACGUGUAGUCGGGCUGCCUUCCUUCAGGAAUCUGUGGAAAAAAUUGCUGCCCCACAUCUCAAGCACUAAGCCCAGCACAGACCUGUGCUGGCAGUGCCAGAGGAACAACUAUCAGGUCUUCAGAUCUGCCAAUCUGCCAGAAGCUGUUAAGUCAGCCAAGCUGAAGAAGCAAGAGCAGCAAGAGCAGCAUCUCCUGCUCGUUCAGAGUGAGCGGUCUGUCUACCAGAAGACGGUUGCUGACUGCAAGACCACCUGUCAAGACCUGCAGUUACCUCUGGGGGCCCUACUGAACCAGCAAGCAAAGACAUCAGGAUGCAUUACAGCUUUGAUUUUGCUCAACAAUGCACUAGCCUGCAGCCAGGUCCCAUCUACUUCUUUACUCCUCGGAAGUGUGGCUGUUUGGUGUCUGCUGUGAAGGAAUACCACCAAGUCAACUACUUGAUUGAUGAAGGCAUGUUGUCCAGCAAAGUGAAGGACAGCACUCUGACAGGGGUCAACAUCCCACAGCUGGUUGGACUGGAGGAUGGUACGGUGCUGGUGGAAAGCUAUGGCUGGCAACAACACCUGACUCUCUACUUCAGGCCACUGCUACAGAUCAAACAGUACCAGCACUUCACAUGAAUAUCAUUGUCAUUGCAUUCUUUGAUGCUCUGGAGCCUGGUGUUGUUGGCAAGGAGCGUUCGGACUCAGUCAGGACCAGGUUUCAGCAGCUGUGCAACGCUGACAUCCUUCCUCCCAUAGAUGGUCUGCCUGUACAAGCACCACCUGGACUGGACACAGCUAGACAAACAUAUUUUUGAGAAGAUAAGGGAGUUUUGUUACAAAGAGACUAUGGAAGUCACAUGCCCUGCAACAAAGUCAAGGGCAAGACAGAAACAGGCUCUCUGAAUAUAGAUUCCCUUGUUCAUGCAUGGUUCGGACAGACCAGUCAUGUUUUACUUUUACUUCACUACAUUCUGAAUAAAAAUAUGUAUUUUUUACUCCAUACAUUUUCCCUGACACCGAAAGUACUUGCUACAUUUUGACAGGAAAAUUGUUCAAUUCACACACUAAUCAAUAGAACAUCCCUGGCCAUCCCUACUGCAUCUGAUCUGGCAGACUCACUAAACACAAGUCCUUU
ensembl:lncRNA